CCUACGGGAGGCAGCAGUGGGGAAUAUUGGACAAUGGGGGGAACCCUGAUCCAGCCAUGCCGCGUGUGUGAAGAAGGCCCUCGGGUUGUAAAGCACUUUCAGUGAGGAAGAACGCCUGGUGGUUAAUACCCAUCAGGAAAGACAUCACUCACAGAAGAAGCACCGGCUAACUCCGUGCCAGCAGCCGCGGUAAUACGGAGGGUGCGAGCGUUAAUCGGAAUUACUGGGCGUAAAGCGCGCGUAGGUGGCUUGAUAAGCCGGUUGUGAAAGCCCCGGGCUCAACCUGGGAACGGCAUCCGGAACUGUCAAGCUAGAGUGCAGGAGAGGAAGGUAGAAUUCCCGGUGUAGCGGUGAAAUGCGUAGAGAGCGGGAGGAAUACCAGUGGCGAAGGCGGCCUUCUGGACUGACACUGACACUGAGGUGCGAAAGCGUGGGUAGCAAACAGGAUUAGAUACCCUUGUAGUC
rnacentral:rRNA from 1 species